AUGUGCAAAGGACUUCCCGUGGAUGAAGCUGCGGCUACCUGUGGAUUAGACCCUCACUGUGGAUAUCAGGCAGGUCUUCUGGCUUGCAAAAGGCCUUUACGGUGUAUAUAUAGAUGGAGAUUCCCAAAAAAGAAAUGCACUUUGGAGCGCAACAUGAAUUACCAGCUUAGACCUAGAGUUAUUUUCCCAAACCCAGCCAAAUGGAGAACAGCUUAGAGCACUACCAACCUACGCAGAUAAUCCCUUUUUCAGGCACAUUUAUCUGCUGGACCGCAUCAUAAUCAAAUUAUGCAGACCAUUCAACUACAGUAUGUUAACCCUAACCCAACACUCAAUUGAGCAAGAAUUUAAUCAGACAAAACUGUUUCGAUAUAAACUGUUUUGAUAUAAAGUUUAUAGAUUUUUUUGUCCUAAAAAAGUAGAAUAAUACAUUAACAUAUUUGUAUU